rnacentral:rRNA from 1 species
GACGAACGCUGGCGGCGUGCCUAAUACAUGCAAGUCGAGCGCAGGAAGCUGACGGAACUCUUCGGAGGGAAGGCAGUGGAAUGAGCGGCGGACGGGUGAGUAACACGUAAGGAACCUGCCUCAAGGAUUGGGAUAACUCCGAGAAAUCGGAGCUAAUACCGGAUAGUUCAACGGACCGCAUGGUCCGCUGAUGAAAGGCGCUCCGGCGUCACCUUGAGAUGGCCUUGCGGUGCAUUAGCUAGUUGGGGGGGUAACGGCCCACCAAGGCGACGAUGAAUGGCCGACCUGAGAGGGUGAUCGGCCACACUGGGACUGAGACACGGCCCAGACUCCUACGGGAGGCAGCAGUAGGGAAUCUUCCACAAUGGACGAAAGUCUGAUGGAGCAACGCCGCGUGAGUGAUGAAGGUUUUCGGAUCGUAAAACUCUGUUGUAAGGGAAGAACACGUACGAGAGGAAAUGCUCGUAUCUUGACGGUACCUUACGAGGAAGCCACGGCUAACUACGUGCCAGCCGCCGCCGUAAGAC